rnacentral:lncRNA from 1 species
CUCUUGAACCCGGGAGGUGGAAGUUGCAGUGAGCAAAGAUCAUGCCACCGCACUCCAGCCUGGGUGACAGAGUGAGACUCCAUCUCAAAAAAAAAAGGAAAAGAAAAAAAUAGACAUCAUACUUGAUGCUGGAGAAAUCGCUAUCUUUCUCUGAGUCUCAGUUUCCCUCUGAGUCUGUUUCCUUAUCUGUGAAAUGGGGACAACAUUUAUUUCAGUGGGUCAUUGUGAGAAUUAAGUGAGAGGAGCUGGAUCAGGAUUUAUAUGUCCAGGCUCAUGUUUCUGAAGCUGGAUUUGGAGCCAGACUGAGCAGGGCUUUGGAGGAAAGUAUAGGAAGUUUGGAAUUAUAUUCUAUAGAUGAUGGGGAAUGAUAUUCACUCAUCCAUGAAUUAUUUCAUUCAACUUCUAUUCAUUGGAAAGAUAAUGAUGAAUAAAGUAAAUUACAUUCAUGUACUUUUGGAGCUUAGAAUUUUUAAUGUGCAACAGAUGUAAUUAUAUAAUCACACAAAUAUAUAAAUUGGUAGCAUUUAAGAUAAGGAGGGGCUGAUGUAGAUGGGGGAGAAAUUCAGAAAGGUUUUCUUGAAGAAGCAACAGUAGUGCUGAGACAUGAAAGUGGGUCGGUGAACGGGUAGGGGCUCAUUCUACGCAGAGCAAACAUGAUCUAUAUAGAAGUCUUCAUGGGGUGAAAGGGAGGGUGGCCCAUUAAUAAAAAGGGCGAGGAUGGUUGGAGCCUGUGAUGAAGGGAAAAAGUUGUAUGCAAUAAGGUUGGAGAGGUAAAGGCUGGAGAGAUGGGCAGGGGGGUGGCUAGAUCAGGUAGCACUUUGCAAGACAUUGUAGAAUGUCUUUGGAUUUUUCAUAAAGAGCAGUGGGACACAUUUGAUGGGUUUAAAGCAGGGAAAUGGCAAGCUUAUAUUUGCUUUAUACUAGGAUCUCUUUUGCGGCUGAGAAUGGAUUGGCUCAGAGCAAAUAGGGAAGAUGGAGAUCAUGGGAGGAAAUUGCAGUAGUCCAGGGGAAAGACAAAUGGUUCCACCAAUGGCCAUAAUGGUAGAGCUAGAAAGAAAAGGAUGGCUUCAGCAUAUAUUUAGGAGAUAAAAUUGGCAGUUUUGAAAUAGUGAGGUGACGAUGAAGGAGGAGAAGGUAUCGAGGAUGACUCCUAAGCUUUCUUCUUGCCAGAAGGAUAGUGGCAGUGUUUACUGACACUUUAAAGAUAGAGGAUUAGAGAAUGCUGUUUACCAGUCUUGUUGAGACAGACUUUUCUUAUUCUGUGGCUGUCCUGUGGGAAUUUAUUGUGUCUCUAUACCUAUAUUUAUUCUCCCUUCUAGUGUCCUCUGUGGUUCUGGGCUCACAAGAGGGCACCUGGCAAGGGUACAGAAUUGUAGAGUGAGGGAUACCUCAAGCACCAACUAUUCCACCACCUCAUUUUAUGAAGAGACAAAGAGAUCUGUGACUGGUGACCCCAGAGUGAGGGAGCCACAGAGCUGGCUUACAACUCUUAGGCCUGGGUCCUCUUCAUUGCUUCUGCUGCUAUGUACCCUUUGAUAGAUGAAGAGAAUGUAAUGAAGAGCUGUCCAUUGCAACCCUCUUGUUCAAAACCCCUCAAUACUUACCGUAAUCCAAUUAAAGACUUUAUUCUUUAAGCAAGCCCUCACUUCUGGCAUUCAAAUUGCUUGUAAGGAUUAACUGAGUUAAUACAGACAAAACAUUUAGAAAGUUCCUGGGACAGACUAAACACUAUGUAAGUCUUUGCUUCUGGUAUGUUGUCACCCUAUAUGGCCCCAUAACAGAGAUCCCCAGUAUCCAUUCUCCUCUCCUCUCUUCUUUCAAUAACACAACAACCUUUUCUGCCAAGUUUGGUUGGGCACAUGGCGGCCUGAGCAGUCACUAUGUUUCCCAGCUUCCCUUGCAGCUAGGUGUGGUCAUGUGACUAGGUUCAGGCCAAUGGAGGGAACAUGGAGGAAAGGUGAGUGCCAUUCUCAUUUCUAGAAGAUUCCAGGCCAUUUCCUAAAAGGCAAACCUGUCUGUUCCUGACUCUGUGUCCUUAUUUCCCUCUGGCUUAGAUAUGGCAACAACUGGGACAGCUGCCUUGGACCAAGGAUGGAAGCCCCAUGUUGAGGACAGUAGAGCUGAUCUAGAAGCCUGAGUCACUAGGUGACCAUUUAUAGCAGAGCUGCUGCUGCCCCUACCCGCUGAAAUCCUAGGACACUCACCAAAGGUUACUCCUGUGAGGGUGGAACAGACUGCUCUCUUAUCCCCGGUCCUGCACAAGAGAUGGUCUUGUGCUCCAAGGUCUGGCUGCUGAUCAUGAACUCCUGUGGCCUCUAGUGGGGAGGGAGGGUCCCUGUGUCUGUGACCAGAGGAGAGACAGCCCUGGUUGCAGGAGACUGGACUUCUGAGUUGACCUUGCAUAGGCCACCAUUGGAGAGUGAUGGAUAUGAAUGGGAAGACAUGAGCUUGGAAUGGCACUCAAUCUACACGUUUCUUCCUUGGGAAUAAUGGGUAGAUGAAUGAAAAUGUCUAGCCUCUCUGGACCACAAGGUAAAUACUCUGUGCCCUCAGAGAGUACAGUAGUCCUAGUGGUCUUAACUUUUAGGGUUUUGUUUUACCUGAGAGUCAUAAAGAUGUUGAACUUGUUGCCCAGUAAAAACAAAAAAAGUCCCUACAUGAACACAUAAAAAAUUUGCACACAAGUUCAAGAAACUCAAGGAUAUCCUGAACCCCAUAAAUUGAAUUCUAGUAAGCCUCAGUUAAGAGUUUUGGUGAAGUGAGAAGUGCAUUGUGUUUGGACAGAGAAAAACAAAAUUCACCAACAACAAUCUGAGUAGGUCACUUUACUCCCAGAACCUGUUUCCUCAGCUGGUAAAUAGGGGUGGAAGCAAUACAUCUGCCUGCUCAAGAUAUUGUGAGGUUCAAACAAGUUAAUGAAAGUCAAAAUGCAAUGUAAACUGUGAAAUGCUUUCCUCUCAAGGGGAUGUUUAGUUUAACCAUCAUUAUUUCUGUGGAUCUUUAGAAAGCUGGUUGGACUUUAUUUCAUUCUUUUUCAUGGCUGUGUAGUAUUCCCUGGGGUGUGUGUGUGUGUGUGUG